UGGGUAACCUGCCUCAAAGAGGGGAAUAGCCUCCCGAAAGGGAGAUUAAUACCGCAUAAUAUGUUUAAGUCGCAUGACUUUAACAUCAAAGGAUUUUCUUUUAGAAAUUCCACUUUGAGAUGGACCCCGCGGCGCAUUAGCUAGUUGGUGAGGUAACGGCUCACCAAGGCAACGAUGCGUAGCCGACCUGAGAGGGUGAUCGGCCACAUUGGAACUGAGACACGGCCCAGACUCCGUAGG
rnacentral:rRNA from 1 species